AAACAACAAAGGUUAUAAUGCAAGUAAGACCUAUUUCCAAAUGUCUCCUGCUGCCAGACUAGAAACUGCCAUAGUGAAAGGAGCACUGGGCUGGGAGUCUGAAGACUGGCGGUGCCACUUGGAAGUACUCAGCAGCCCUGGCCCCGCUGUCACCCCAGAAUCAAGUAUCUUGCCAAGACAACCUGAUAGAGUCUGCGGGAAAAGUGGAAGAAAGUUGUUCUUUCCCAUCAGUGCAGCAUAUCAGAAACUGCUCUCUGCAGAGGAAAAGGUUGGUGGCUGUGGCGGACCCCCUUCUGAUGAAAUCUGAAACAAACCUCUUGGAACUUGGGAUUUUGCUCUUAAGCCAGGAGUCAGGAUGUUGUGGGGGUUUCUUUAAAAGUCUGGAGAGGCUUCACAAGUGGUCAGAAGCAGUGAGACAAACUCUGGGCUUGGCACCAGGAGUCCAGGAGCCUGCCCCAGGCCCUUUGCAGUUGCUGUUCCCUCUGCCUGGAAGAAUCUCCACUUGGCUGUUCUUGGGGCUCAGGUCACAGCUCAGAAGUCAGCUCCUCAAAGGGGGCUUUCUC